ACUUAAAUAAUUUAAAUAAAAUAUUGAUUUGUGGAAUCAAAAAUGUGAAAAAAUUUCAUUUUAGGUC
rnacentral:tRNA from 1 species